rnacentral:lncRNA from 1 species
UACAGUAAAAUGCUCGUGAAAAAGAAAAGAAAAAGAAAAGAAAAGAGAAAGAACAAAAAAAGAGAGCAUAUGUACUUGAAAGAAAAUAGAUGUACAAAAGAGCAUGUGAAAGCAAAGUAAGUUGGUGUAUUGAAGGUAAUUAUUCCAAAGGUCCGGUUGAAGCUGAGUCUAGGGUUUUUAGCCUAAAUUUAUCUAUCUUUUAC